UACGUAGGGUGCAAGCGUUAAUCGGAAUUACUGGGCGUAAAGCGUGCGCAGGCGGUUUUGUAAGUCUGACGUGAAAUCCCCGGGCUUAACCUGGGAACUGCAUUGGUGACUGCAUUGCUCGAGUAUGGCAGAGGGGGGUGGAAUUCCACGUGUAGCAGUGAAAUGCGUAGAGAUGUGGAGGAACACCGAUGGCGAAGGCAGCCCCCCUGGGCCAAUACUGACGCUGAGGAGCGAAAGCGUGGGGAGCGAACAGG
rnacentral:rRNA from 1 species